GCCGGGGUGGUGGAAUAGGCAGACACGCGGGACUUAAAAUCCCGUGCCAGCAAUGGCGUGCGGGUUCAAUUCCCGCCCUCGGCA
rnacentral:tRNA from 1 species